UAUACACCGGCAAAUACGGUACUAAAAUUGGACUGAUACAGAGAAGAUUAGCAUGGCCCUUGCUCAAGGAUGGCACACAAAUUUGUGAAGCAAAUUUCUUUCUU